GUUGAGGUAGUUUAUAGAAAAUACCACGUUGUGGUUGUGGAGAUGUGAGGUCACCUUUAACA
rnacentral:tRNA from 1 species